AUAUCAGUAAGCGGAGGAAAAGAAACUAACAAGGAUUCCCCUAGUAACGGCGAGUGAAGCGGGAAGAGCUCAAAUUUAAAAUCUGGCACUCUUUUGAGUGUCCGAAUUGUAAUUGAGAGGGUGUUCUUUUGGUGAACGCUGUGGCCAAAGUUCUCUGGAAAGGGACAACAAAGAGGGUGACAUUCCCGUCUGGGUCAUGGUGAUAGAGCCAGUUUAUAAAGGACACUCCAAGAGUCGGAUUGUUUGGGAAUGCAGUCCAAAAUGGGUGGUACAUUUCAUCUAAAGCUAAAUAUUGGCAAGAGACCGAUAGCGAACAAGUACCGUGAGGGAAAGAUGAAAAGAACUUUGAAAAGAGAGUUAAACAGUAC
rnacentral:rRNA from 1 species